CGCCGGUAUCGUUCGGACCCGGCGGAGAAUAGUGAAUCGGGUGCGAAUCCCGAACGGUACCGCCACUGUAUGCGCGGAGAUGCCCUCACGAAGGCGAAAGCCGGUCAUUGGAGCUUCGGCUCUGAGAAGGCUGCGGGGGAUGUUGACGAGGCGCAAGCCAGGAGACCUGCUCAAG
rnacentral:ncRNA from 1 species